rnacentral:rRNA from 1 species
AGAGCGAACGCUGGCGGCAGGCUUAACACAUGCAAGUCGAGCGGGCGUAGCAGUACGUCAGCGGCAGACGGGUGAGUAACGCGUGGGAACGUACCUUUGGUUCGGAACAACACAGGGAAACUUGUGCUAAUACCGGAUAAGCCCUUACGGGAAAGAUUUAUCGCCGAAAGAUCGGCCCGCGUCUGAUUAGCUAGUUGGUAGGGUAAUGGCCUACCAAGGCGACGAUCAGUAGCUGGUCUGAGAGGAUGAUCAGCCACAUUGGGACUGAGACACGGCCCAAACUCCUACGGGAGGCAGCAGUGGGGAAUAUUGGACAAUGGGGGCAACCCUGAUCCAGCCAUGCCGCGUGAGUGAUGAAGGCCCUAGGGUUGUAAAGCUCUUUCGUGCGGGAAGAUAAUGACGGUACCGCAAGAAUAAGCCCCGGCUAACUUCGUG